GUGGGGAAUUUUGGACAAUGGGCGCAAGCCUGAUCCAGCAAUGCCGCGUGCAGGAAGAAGGCCUUCGGGUUGUAAACUGCUUUUGUACGGAACGAAACGGUCCUGGCUAAUAUCCGGGGCUAAUGACGGUACCGUAAGAAUAAGCACCGGCUAACUACGUGCCAGCAGCCGCGGUAAUACGUAGGGUGCGAGCGUUAAUCGGAAUUACUGGGCGUAAAGCGUGCGCAGGCGGUGCUGUAAGACAGGCGUGAAAUCCCCGGGCUCAACCUGGGAAUUGCGCUUGUGACUGCAGUGCUGGAGUGCGGCAGAGGGGGAUGGAAUUCCGCGUGUAGCAGUGAAAUGCGUAGAUAUGCGGAGUAACACCGAUGGCGAAGGCAAUCCCCUGGGCCUGCACUGACGCUCAUGCACGAAAGCGUGGGGAGCAAACAGGAUUAGAUACCCGGGUAGUCC
rnacentral:rRNA from 1 species